GGCAUGAAGGCAGCAACGUUUCAUUUCAUCUUCCAGUCCUCCACACUCCCACUGUCUGGGUCAUCUUCUGCCCUGCCAGCUUUACUGCCUACUAUCUCCAGCGCACCAAGUCUAAAUAUGUCCCCCUUGUGUGACAAGUAAAUCAGUCCCCUGGCGCUGGCUGGCUCAGAGAGGCACCUAAGGAGGAUGAACUGGAUCAUAAAACACCACCACAGUCUGACUUUUUAUGGCUGCUAAUGCUGUCUUUAUGUACUGUUGUAUAUGUCAAACCGUCGAAAUCAAUAAAGUCAAAUUUAAUCUGA